GACGAACGCUGGCUUCGUGCUUAACACAUGCAAGUCGAACGGAAAGGCCCUGCUUUUGUGGGGUGCUCGAGUGGCGAACGGGUGAGUAACACGUGAGUAACCUGCCCUUGACUUUGGGAUAACUUCAGGAAACUGGGGCUAAUACCGGAUAGGAGCUCCUGCUGCAUGGUGGGGGUUGGAAAGUUUCGGCGGUUGGGGAUGGACUCGCGGCUUAUCAGCUUGUUGGUGGGGUAGUGGCUUACCAAGGCUUUGACGGGUAGCCGGCCUGAGAGGGUGACCGGCCACAUUGGGACUGAGAUACGGCCCAGACUCCUACGGGAGGCAGCAGUGGGGAAUAUUGCACAAUGGGCGGAAGCCUGAUGCAGCAACGCCGCGUGCGGGAUGACGGCCUUCGGGUUGUAAACCGCUUUCGCCUGUGACGAAGCGUGAGUGACGGUAAUGGGUAAAGAAGCACCGGCUAACUACGUGCCAGCAGCCGCGGUGAUACGUAGGGUGCGAGCGUUGUCCGGAUUUAUUGGGCGUAAAGGGCUCGUAGGUGGUUGAUCGCGUCGGAAGUGUAAUCUUGGGGCUUAACCCUGAGCGUGCUUUCGAUACGGGUUGACUUGAGGAAGGUAGGGGAGAAUGGAAUUCCUGGUGGAGCGGUGGAAUGCGCAGAUAUCAGGAGGAACACCAGUGGCGAAGGCGGUUCUCUGGGCCUUUCCUGACGCUGAGGAGCGAAAGCGUGGGGAGCGAACAGGCUUAGAUACCCUGGUAGUCCACGCUGUAAACGGUGGGUACUAGGUGUGGGGUCCAUUCCACGGGUUCCGUGCCGUAGCUAACGCUUUAAGUACCCCGCCUGGGGAGUACGGCCGCAAGGCUAAAACUCAAAGGAAUUGACGGGGCCCCGCACAAGCGGCGGAGCAUGCGGAUUAAUUCGAUGCAACGCGUAGAACCUUACCUGGGUUUGACAUGGAUCGGGAGUGCUCAGAGAUGGGUGUGCCUCUUUUGGGGUCGGUUCACAGGUGGUGCAUGGCUGUCGUCAGCUCGUGUCGUGAGAUGUUGGGUUAAGUCCCGCAACGAGCGCAACCCUUGUUCACUGUUGCCAGCACGUUAUGGUGGGGACUCAGUGGAGACCGCCGGGGUCAACUCGGAGGAAGGUGGGGAUGACGUCAAGUCAUCAUGCCCCUUAUGUCCAGGGCUUCACGCAUGCUACAAUGGCUGGUACAGAGAGUGGCGAGCCUGCGAGGGUGAGCGAAUCUCGGAAAGCCGGUCUCAGUUCGGAUUGGGGUCUGCAACUCGACCUCAUGAAGUCGGAGUCGCUAGUAAUCGCAGAUCAGCAACGCUGCGGUGAAUACGUUCCCGGG
rnacentral:rRNA from 1 species